UUGGAGGGCAAGUCUGGUGCCAGCAGCCGCGGUAAUUCCAGCUCCAAUAGCGUAUAUUAAAGUUGUUGCAGUUAAAAAGCUCGUAGUUGAAUUUCGAGACCGGCUUAUUGGUCGUGCUUUUGUACGUACUGGUAUAAUCGGUUUCUCCUUUCUGACGAACUAUAAUGCCAUUAAUUUGGUGUUAUAGGGAAUCAGGACUGUUACUUUGAAAAAAUUAGAGUGUUUAAAGCAGGCUCACGCUUGAAUACAUUAGCAUGGAAUAACGGAAUAGGACGUUUGAUUCUAUUUUGUUGGUUUCUAGGAUCGACGUAAUGAUUAAUAGGGAUAGUUGGGGGCAUUAGUAUUCAAUUGUCAGAGGUGAAAUUCUUGGAUUUAUUGAAGACUAACUACUGCGAAAGCAUUUGCCAAGGAUGUUUUCAUUAAUCAAGAACGAAAGUUAGGGGAUCGGAGACGAUCAGAUACCGUCGUAGUCUUAACCAUAAACUAUGUCGACUAGGGAUCGGAUGAUGUUAAUUUUUUAAUGACUCAUUCGGCGCCUUACGGGAAACCAAAGUGUUUGGGUUC
rnacentral:rRNA from 1 species